CUGCAAUACAUCUCCCAGGAAAACAAAACUCAGUAGCCAACUUUCUCAGCAGGAUAAGAUUAGACCCAGGGGAAUGGAGUCUAUCAAAUGACACAUUCCUUCAGAUUGCAGGGAAAUGGGGUCAUCCACAAAUAGAUCUGAUGGCGACAAGCAACAACAGGAAGGUGAAGAUUUUCUUCUCAAAAAUUCCACAUCCACAAGCCAUGGGAAGAGACGCACUAACAUGCAAUUGGGAAUUCGACCUGGCCUAUGCAUUGCCUCCAAAUCCUCUCAUCUUUCCGCUACUGAGGAGACUGAGACAACAGAAGGUAUCAUUAAUCCUGAUAGCCCCUUUUU